CUUCCCUCCCUGAUACUUCCGAUCAUUGUGGCCAUUCUCUGCUUCCAAUCAGUCGCUGGUCCCAAUCGUUGCUUCCCUAGUUGUCGCGCAAACACACACGCAUAUCAUUGCGUCCAAGAAGCAACAAUAACAUGUUUGGGGUCAUUUCGGAUACCCUCCCUCCCCUGAAGAUCACUGAUCACACUCACAGUACGACAUGACUGCAUUGCCUCAACUUCAACUCUUAGGAAAAUUUCUAGUUGGGUGUAUGUUGGAUAACAUAAACUUUGUGGGAAACAAUCAUACAGCUGCAACUGCAACAGCUUCAGGUCGAGGGAUCAAAAGGGAACGUGAGCAAAAGCUUCACAUAUCUUUAAACAACAACUUCUUCUGUCAAGAUGAUGCGGGCCUCAUGAAUCCCGACCACACCCACCCUGUAUCAACUGGCCUUAAACUAUCUUAUCAGGGAGGGAAGGCUCGAUCAGGCUUGAUCAUGAUUUUGUGAUAGACGGGG